rnacentral:rRNA from 1 species
UACGAAGGACCCGAGCGUUAUCCGGAUUUAUUGGGUUUAAAGGGUCCGUAGGCGGUUUGGUAAGUCAGUGGUGAAAGCCCAUCGCUCAACGGUGGAACGGCCAUUGAUACUGCCAGACUUGAAUUACUGGGAAGUAGCUAGAAUAUGUAGUGUAGCGGUGAAAUGCUUAGAGAUUACAUGGAAUACCAAUUGCGAAGGCAGGUUACUACUAGUGGAUUG